GAAAUCCUCCCUUGAGCACUAUUGGAGGCUGCGGGAAGCCCACAAGGGCCUUUCUGCAGCUUCUCUCCUGCCUUUCCAGCCCAAGGGAUGGUGGCAGGGAGAGCCAGGUGUACAGCAAGGACCCUUCCAGCUGGAAAUCCCUGGUAUUCCUGGAAUCAUUUUCUUCGGAGCUGUCAUCAUCAGGCUUGUGGGCUUCCUUUGCCAGCCURGGAAUAAAUAUUCCCCUGGAAGGAGAGGCUCACCUAUGGAAUCAACAGCAACAUGUAGAGCCUCCUCUGCAGAGCCUGCUGCAAACUGCCUCAUGUUCAGAUCCUAGAACCUGGUGUGGCCACUUCUGCUGUGGAUACUUGCACACACUGAUGAGAUGCCCUUGAGCUGUCUCUCCUCCAGGCUGAAGAGGCCCAGCGCUCUCAGCCUCUGCUUCUGAGACACUCUGUUCCCUUAACCGUCUUCAUGGCCCCUCAUUGGACUCUCUCCAGCAUGUCCRUGUCUUUCUUGUACUGGAGAAACGAGAAUUGGACAGCACUCUAGAUGU